rnacentral:lncRNA from 1 species
AAAAACCAAAAUAAUUAAAUGUUCAAUCCAUUUACAAAGCCCACUAUUAAUCCGACAGCCUAAACUACCCAGCAGCCCAUUACACCCUCAACCCAAAGAUACACGGGGCGCAAAAGGCCCAAAUCAGUUAACAUGUUAGAAAACCCUAGGGUUUACAGAAGCUUCUCGCCGCAAGCACUCCAAUCGUCACGCCCCUUCGUCUUGCGCCGUUUCAGUGACCCUUCAUCGACGCCUCCAUCGGCGCCGUGACUCCAGCUCCUUAUCGCGCCGCAAUCGGCGCACGAAUCAACGCCAGCGCACUCACCGCCAUGAUAUCCUCACUGGUACCUGCAAAAAGGAAAGAACCACAGCAGAAAAGAAAAGCAAACAUGGAAAGAAAUCAAAGAUUUCUUUCCCAAAAUGUAACAAUUUACAGAAGGCUAUAAAAGCCUAUUUUCUAAUCUGUAAGAAAAAACACGAUUUAUCAGAUAUAAAAACACAGAGAAACAGAUUAUAGAUUUUUUAGCUUUUCCAGAAAACAGAGGUGAUUCUUCUUGCUUUAUUUUCUUUAUUUUCCUCUUGGAUACCUGCAUUUCAUACAUACAAAGUACUAUAAAAAAAAUAAAAAGAGGAUUACCUCUCGAUUCGCUGUGAAAAGUGAAACUUUUCGAAUCCCGACCGUUGUACGUGGCGGAGUCGACAGCGGCGCGUG